rnacentral:rRNA from 1 species
CGGUGCAAGUGGCAAACGGGAGAGUAACACAUUGAUAACCUGCCCUCAACUCAUGAAUAAUCCACCGAAAGGCGGACUAAUACAAGAUGGUCCCUACAAUCAUAAGAUUGUAGAGUAAAGAUUUAUCGGUUGAGGAGGGGUCUAUGUACUAUCAGCUUGUUGGUGUGAUAAAAGCGCACCAAGGCUAUGACGGUUAGCGGGUGUGAGAGCAUGACCCGUCUCAAUGGGACUGAGACACUGCCCAUACUCC